rfam:Homo sapiens unplaced genomic contig, GRCh38 reference primary assembly.
CCUCGCAGCAAUGUUCUGGAAUCCUAUGUGAGGGAGAAACAUUCAGACCCUCGCAGCAGUGUUCUGGAAUCCUAUGUGAGGGA